rfam:Candidatus Jettenia caeni DNA, contig: KST1_D.
UAACGGGUGAAAGUUCUUUCAUGGUAAAAGCCGGAAGCCAUGUAGCCAGGAUGGCAGGGGGUGAGGGAAACGUUACCUUCUGAAGCCCAUCGACAAAGGCCGCUCUAAGGCGGGUGAGCAACUCUCCGGGUUGUAACGAAU